rnacentral:rRNA from 1 species
GUAGGUGGCAAGCGUUGUCCGGAAUUAUUGGGCGUAAAGCGCGCGCAGGUGGGUUCUUUAAGUCUGAUGUGAAAGCCCCCGGGCUCAACCGGGGAGGGUCAUUGGAAACUGGGGAACUUGAGUGCAGGAGAGGAAAGUGGAAUUCCACGUGUAGCGGUGAAAUGCGUAGAUAUGUGGAGGAACACCGGUGGCGAAGGCGACUUUCUGGCCUGUAACUGACACUGAGGCGCGAAAGCGUGGGGAGCAAACAGGAUUAGAUACCCUGGUAGUCCACGCCGUAAACGAUGAGUGCUAAGUGUUGGGGGGUUUCCGCCCCUCAGUGCUGCAGCUAACGCAUUAAGCACUCCGCCUGGGGAGUACGGUCGCAAAGACUG